UACGAGGUGAGAAGUAAUCACAGGUCUGCUUUUGGGGUCGAAACAAGGACAGACUCCCGAAAGCUACCUCAAUAA
rnacentral:sRNA from 1 species